rnacentral:rRNA from 1 species
UGGGGAAUAUUGCACAAUGGGCGCAAGCCUGAUGCAGCAACGCCGCGUGAAUGAUGAAGGCCUUCGGGUCGUAAAGUUCUGUCCUAAGGGAAGAAUACAGUGACGGUACCUUAGGAGGAAGCCCCGGCUAACUACGUGCC